rnacentral:rRNA from 1 species
AGCAGCCGCGGUAAUUCCAGCUCCAAUAGCGUAUAUUAAAGUUGUUGCAGUUAAAAAGCUCGUAGUUGAAUUUCGGAAUUUGUCGGUUGGUCGGGCUUCACUGUCCGCACUGACCUGAUGAAUUCCUACUUCUGAAUAACCAGCAUGCUAUUAAGUUAGUGCGUUGGGGAAGCAGAGCUAUUACCUUGAAAAAAUUGGAGUGCUUAAAGCAGGCUUGUGCUUGAAUAGAUUAGCAUGGAAUAAUAAAAUAGGACGCAUGGUUCUAUUUUGUGGUUUCUAGGAUCACCGUAAUGAUUAAUAGGGAUAGUUGGGGCAUUAGUAUUCAAUUGUCAGAGGUGAAAUUCUUGGAUUUAUGAAGACUAACUUCU